rnacentral:rRNA from 14 species
CGGGUAGUUUGACUGGGGCGGUCGCCUCCUAAAGGGUAACGGAGGCGCCCAAAGGUUCCCUCAGCCUGGUUGGUAAUCAGGUGGUGAGUGUAAGUGCACAAGGGGGCUUGACUGUGAGACUGACAGGUCGAGCAGGGACGAAAGUCGGGACUAGUGAUCCGGCAGUGGCUUGUGGAAGCGCUGUCGCUCAACGGAUAAAAGGUACCUCGGGGAUAACAGGCUGAUCUUGCCCAAGAGUCCAUAUCGACGGCAUGGUUUGGCACCUCGAUGUCGGCUCGUCGCAUCCGGGG